rnacentral:rRNA from 1 species
ACGCUCGACACCUACGGGGGGCAGCAGUCGGGAAUAUUGCGCAAUGGAGGAAACUCUGACGCAGUGACGCCGCGUAUAGGAAGAAGGUUUUCGGAUUGUAAACUAUUGUCGUUAGGGAAGAAAAAGGACAGUACCUAAGGAGGAAGCUCCGGCUAACUACGUGCCAACAGCCGCGGGUAAUCUGAGCGGGCUGGCAAGGC